AGAGCAUACGGUGGAUGCCUUGGCGAUAUCUGCCGAUGAAGGACGCGACAAGCUGCGAAAAGCUGCGGAGAGGUGCAAAUGACCAUUGACCCGCAGAUCUCCGAAUGGAGCAAUCCGGCAGGGUUUAUCCCCUGUCACCCAUAUCUUCGAAUAUGGGAGGGAACCGGGCGAACUGAAACAUCUAAGUAGCCCGAGGAAGAGUAAUCAAACGAGAUACCCCAAGUAGCGGCGAGCGAACGGGGCCUAAGCCCAAACCGGUGAAGGAAACUUUGCCGGGGUUGAGGACUGCCAUACGAACUAGCCCAUUAGCCGAAAUUCCUGGGAAGGAAUGCCGAAGAAUGUGAAAGCCAUGUAAGCGAAAAUGGAAAAGGGACAGGCAGCACCAGAGUACCGCGGGACACGAGAAACCCCGUGGGAAGCCGGGGGGACCACCCUCCAAGGCAAAACACAGAUAUCGACCGAUAGCGCAUAGUACCAUGAGGGAAAGGUGAAAAGCACCCCGGGAGGGGAAUGAAACAGAACCUGAAACCGUAUGUUUACAAGCAGUCGAAGACCGCUUAAUAAUAAGGUCAACGGCGUGCCUAUUGAAGAAUGAACCGGCGAGUUAUGAGGUCCAGCAAGGUUAAGCAGGAAAUGCGGAGCCGAAGCGAAAGCGAGUCUUAAUAGGGCGACAAGUUGGAUUGCAUAGACCCGAAACCACAGUGAUCUACCCAUGUCCAGGCUGAAGCACAGGUAAAAAUGUGUGGAGGGCCGAACCUAUAUCCGUUGAAAAGGGUUAGGAUGAGGUGUGGGUAGGGGUGAAAUUCCAAUCGAACGUGGAGAUAGCUGGUUCUCCCCGAAAUAGCUUUAGGGCUAGCCUCGAGGUAGAGAUUGCAGGCGGUAGAGCACUGAUCAGGAGAGGGGCCUACCCGGCUACCAAACCCAGUCAAACUACGAAUGGCUGCAAUUAUACUCGGGAGUCAGACUACGACUUAUAAGGGCCGUGGUCAAAAGGGAAACAGCCCAGAUCAUCAGCUAAGGUCCCAAAUGCCGUGCUAAGUGGCGAAGGAUGUGGCGUUUCAUAAACAACCAGGAUGUUGGCUCAGAAGCAGCCACCAUUUAAAGAGUGCGUAAUAGCUCACUGGUCGAGAGACGCUGCGCCGAAAAUGUCCGGGGCUCAAGCACGGAACCGAAGCUAUGGCAUGAUAGCAAUAUCAUGGGUAGGGGAGCGUUCUUAACAGGAAGAAGCAUGACCGGAAGGACAUGUGGACCGUUAAGAAGUGAGAAUGCCGGUAUGAGUAUCGAAAAGAAAGGUGAGAAUCCUUUCCACCGAAAGCCCGAGGGUUCCUGAGCAACGAUCGUCGUCUCAGGGUAAGUCGGGACCUAAGCCGAGGCGGAGACGCAUAGGCGAUGGACAACAGGUUGAAAUUCCUGUACCGGAUACAAUCGUUUGAGCGAUGGAGCGACGCAGAAAGGCAUAUGAUCGCGCGACUGGAAGAGCGCGUCCAAGUGCGUAUGUUGAAUCGGAGGCAAAUCCCUGAUUCUGAAAGCAGAGACACGAUGGGGAGUUAUACGAAAGUAUGACGAACUCAUAGAUCCUACACUGCCAAGAAAAACUUCUAGUGAGAAAGUAUCCGCCCGUACCGUAAACCGACACAGGUAGGCGGGGAGAGAAUCCUAAGGUGCGCGGGAAAACCCUCGUUAAGGAACUCGGCAAAUUGCAUCCGUAACUUAGGGAGAAGGAUGACCUUAAGUAAGCGAAAGGGAGAAACCCCUGGAACAGAACAAGGUGGCAGAAAAGAGGCCCAAGCAACUGUUUACCAAAAACACAGGUGCCUGCGAAAGCGAAAGCUGAAGUAUAGGUGCUGACGCCUGCCCGGUGCUGGAAGGUUAAGGAGAGAUGUCAGAGCAAUCGAAGCAUUGAACUGAAGCCCCAGUGAACGGCGGCCGUAACUAUAACGGUCCUAAGGUAGCGAAAUUCCUUGUCGGGUAAGUUCCGACCCGCAUGAAAGGCGUAAUGAUUUGGGCACUGUCUCAACGAGGGGCCCGGUGAAAUUGAAAUACCUGUGAAGAUGCAGGUUACCCGCGACUGGACAGAAAGACCCCAUGGAGCUUCACUGCAGCUUGAGAUUGAAUCUCGGUGAUGCAUGCACAGGAUAGGUGGGAGACUAAGAAGUAUGGGCUUUGGCUUAUACCGAGUCGAUGUUGGGAUACCACCCUUGUAUUGCUGAGAUUCUAACACGGAGGCUAACAACCUCGUGGACCAUCUCAGGUAGGCGGUUUGACUGGGGCGGUCGCCUCCGAAAGAGUAACGGAGG
rnacentral:rRNA from 1 species